UGGGGAAUAUUGCACAAUGGGCGCAAGCCUGAUGCAGCCAUGCCGCGUGUGUGAAGAAGGCCUUCGGGUUGUAAAGCACUUUCAGCGAGGAGGAAGGGUUCAGUGUUAAUAGCACUGUUCAUUGACGUUACUCGCAGAAGAAGCACCGGCUAACUCCGUGCCAGCAGCCGCGGUAAUACGGAGGGUGCAAGCGUUAAUCGGAAUUACUGGGCGUAAAGCGCACGCAGGCGGUUUGUUAAGUCAGAUGUGAAAUCCCCGCGCUUAACGUGGAACUGCAUUUGAAACUGGC
rnacentral:rRNA from 1 species